rnacentral:rRNA from 1 species
CAGUGUCUGGUGGGUAGUUUGACUGGGGCGGUCUCCUCCUAAAGAGUAACGGAGGAGCACGAAGGUUGGCUAAUCCUGGUCGGACAUCAGGAGGUUAGUGCAAUGGCAUAAGCCAGCUUGACUGCGAGCGUGACGGCGCGAGCAGGUGCGAAAGCAGGUCAUAGUGAUCCGGUGGUUCUGAAUGGAAGGGCCAUCGCUCAACGGAUAAAAGGUACUCCGGGGAUAACAGGCUGAUACCGCCCAAGAGUUCAUAUCGACGGCGGUGUUUGGCACCUCGAUGUCGGCUCAUCACAUCCUGGGGCUGAAGUAGGUCCCAAGGGUAUGGCUGUUCGCCAUUUAAAGUGGUACGCGAGCUGGGUUUAGAACGUCGUGAGACAGUUCGGUCCCUAUCUGCCGUGGGCGCUGGAGAACUGAGGGGGGCUGCUCCUAGUACGAGAGGACCGGAGUGGACGCAUCACUGGUGUUCGGGUUGUCAUGCCAAUGGCACUGCCCGGUAGCUAAAUGCGGAAGAGAUAAGUGCUGAAAGCAUCUAAGCACGAAACUUGCCCCGAGAUGAGUUCUCCCUGAGACUUAAAGUCUCCUG